rnacentral:rRNA from 1 species
CCUUCGGGUUGUAAACUGCUUUUGUCAGGGAAGAAAUCCUUUGGGCUAAUACCUCGGAGGGAUGACGGUACCUGAAGAAUAAGCACCGGCUAACUACGUGCCAGCAGCCGCGGUAAUACGUAGGGUGCGAGCGUUAAUCGGAAUUACUGGGCGUAAAGCGUGCGCAGGCGGCUUUGCAAGACAGAGGUGAAAUCCCCGGGCUCAACCUGGGAACUGCCUUUGUGACUGCAAGGCUAGAGUACGGCAGAGGGGGAUGGAAUUCCGCGUGUAGCAGUGAAAUGCGUAGAUAUGCGGAGGAACACCGAUGGCGAAGGCAAUCCCCUGGGCCUGUACUGACGCUCAUGCACGAAGCGUGGGGAGCAAACAGGAUUAGAUACCCUGGUAGUCCACGCCCUAAACGAUGUCAACUGGUUGUUGGACGGCUUGCUGUUCAGUAACGAAGCUAACGCGUGAAGUUGACCGCCUGGGGAGUACGGCCGCAAGGUUGAACUC